rnacentral:rRNA from 1 species
GGUCAAGUGAAGAAGCGCAUACGGUGGAUGCCUUGGCAGUCAGAGGCGAUGAAAGACGUGGUAGCCUGCGAAAAGCUUCGGGGAGUCGGCAAACAGACUUUGAUCCGGAGAUCUCUGAAUGGGGGAACCCACCUAGGAUAACCUAGGUAUCUUGUACUGAAUCCAUAGGUGCAAGAGGCGAACCAGGGGAACUGAAACAUCUAAGUACCCUGAGGAAAAGAAAUCAACCGAGAUUCCCUUAGUAGUGGCGAGCGAACGGGGAUUAGCCCUUAAGCUUCAUUGAUUUUAGCGGAACGCUCUGGAAAGUGCGGCCAUAGUGGGUGAUAGCCCCGUACGCGAAAGGAUCUUUGAAGUGAAAUCGAGUAGGACGGAGCACGAGAAACUUUGUCUGAACAUGGGGGGACCAUCCUCCAAGGCUAAAUACUACUGACUGACCGAUAGUGAACCAGUACCGUGAGGGAAAGGCGAAAAGAACCCCGGAGAGGGGAGUGAAAUAGAACCUGAAACCGUAUGCGUACAAGCAGUGGGAGCCUACUUGUUAGGUGACUGCGUACCUUUUGUAUAAUGGGUCAGCGACUUAUAUUCAGUGGCAAGCUUAACCGUAUAGGGUAGGCGUAGCGAAAGCGAGUCUUAAUAGGGCGUUUAGUCGCUGGGUAUAGACCCGAAACCGGGCGAUCUAUCCAUGAGCAGGUUGAAGGUUAGGUAACACUGACUGGAGGACCGAACCCACUCCCGUUGAAAAGGUAGGGGAUGACUUGUGGAUCGGAGUGAAAGGCUAAUCAAGCUCGGAGAUAGCUGGUUCUCCUCGAAAGCUAUUUAGGUAGCGCCUCAUGUAUCACUCUGGGGGGUAGAGCACUGUUUCGGCUAGGGGGUCAUCCCGACUUACCAAACCGAUGCAAACUCCGAAUACCCAGAAGUGCCGAGCAUGGGAGACACACGGCGGGUGCUAACGUCCGUCGUGAAAAGGGAAACAACCCAGACCGCCAGCUAAGGUCCCAAAGUUGUGGUUAAGUGGUAAACGAUGUGGGAAGGCUUAGACAGCUAGGAGGUUGGCUUAGAAGCAGCCACCCUUUAAAGAAAGCGUAAUAGCUCACUAGUCGAGUCGGCCUGCGCGGAAGAUGUAACGGGGCUCAAACCACACACCGAAGCUGCGGGUGUCACGUAAGUGACGCGGUAGAGGAGCGUUCUGUAAGCCUGUGAAGGUGAGUUGAGAAGCUUGCUGGAGGUAUCAGAAGUGCGAAUGCUGACAUGAGUAACGACAAUGGGUGUGAAAAACACCCACGCCGAAAGACCAAGGGUUCCUGCGCAACGUUAAUCGACGCAGGGUUAGUCGGUUCCUAAGGCGAGGCUGAAAAGCGUAGUCGAUGGGAAACAGGUUAAUAUUCCUGUACUUCUGGUUACUGCGAUGGAGGGACGGAGAAGGCUAGGCCAGCUUGGCGUUGGUUGUCCAAGUUUAAGGUGGUAGGCUGAAAUCUUAGGUAAAUCCGGGGUUUCAAGGCCGAGAGCUGAUGACGAGUCGUCUUUUAGAUGACGAAGUGGUUGAUGCCAUGCUUCCAAGAAAAGCUUCUAAGCUUCAGGUAACCAGGAACCGUACCCCAAACCGACACAGGUGGUCGGGUAGAGAAUACCAAGGCGCUUGAGAGAACUCGGGUGAAGGAACUAGGCAAAAUGGCACCGUAACUUCGGGAGAAGGUGCGCCGGCUAGGGUGAAGGAUUUACUCC